AUUCAAUCGCAUUUCUACUUGUGCAUCUGCUAAAAAAAUAUGGGAUAGGUUAGAAGUCACCCAUGAGGGAACAAAUCAAGUAAAAGAGUCUAAAAUAAACAUGCUUGCAUUCCUGCCUUAGGGAAUUAAUAUUGAAUUAAAGUCUUUGUUUUGUUCUUCAUAAGUAAUCUGUUGGACUUAAAAUUUUUUAGAAACCCAAUUCACCCCCCCUCUUGGGUU
rnacentral:lncRNA from 1 species